rnacentral:rRNA from 1 species
CCAGCCGUAAACUAUGCGCGUUAGGUGUAUCGGUGACCACGAGUUACCGAGGUGCCGAAGGGAAACCGUGAAACGUGCCGCCUGGGAAGUACGGUCGCAAGGCUGAAACUUAAAGGAAUU